ensembl:lncRNA
GGACCUCACCUGUAUAGUACCUGUUAUAGUACCUGUUAUAGUACCUGUUAUAAUACCUGUUAUAGUACCUGUUAUAAUACCUGUUAUAGUACCUGUUAUAAUACCUGUUAUAAUACCUGUUAUAAUACCUGUUAUAGUACCUGUUAUAAUACCUGUUAUAGUACCUGUUAUAAUACCUGUACCUGUUAUAGUACCUGUUAUAAUACCUGUUAUAGUACCUGUUAUAAUACCUGUUAUAGUACCUGUUAUAGUACCUGUUAUAAUACCUGUUAUAAUACCUGUACCUGUUAUAGUACCUGUUAUAGUACCUGUUAUAAUACCUGUUAUAGUACCUGUUAUAGUACCUGUUAUAAUACCUGUUAUAAUACCUGUACCUGUUAUAGUACCUGUUAUAGUACCUGUUAUAAUACCUGUUAUAGUACCUGUUAUAGUACCUGUUAUAAUACCUGUUAUAAUACCUGUACCUGUUAUAGUACCUGUUAUAGUACCUGUUAUAGUACCUGUUAUAAUACCUGUUAUAGUACCUGUACCUGUUAUAGUACCUGUUAUAAUACCUGUUAUAGUACCUGUUAUAGUACCUGUUAUAGUACCUGUUAUAAUACCUGUUAUAAUACCUGUACCUGUUAUAGUACCUGUUAUAGUACCCGUUAUAAUACCUGUUAUAGUACCUGUACCUGUUAUAGUACCUGUUAUAGUACCUGUUAUAGUACCUGUUAUAGUACCUGUUAUAAUACCUGUUAUAGUACCUGUACCUGUUAUAAUACCUGUUAUAAUACCUGUACCUGUUAUAAUACCUGUUAUAGUACCUGUUAUAGUACCUGUUAUAAUACCUGGUAUAAUACCUGUUAUAAUACCUGUUAUAGUACCUGUUAUAAUACCUGUUAUAGUACCUGUUAUAGUACCUGUUAUAGUACCUGUUAUAAUACCUGUUAUAAUACCUGUACCUGUUAUAGUACCUGUUAUAGUACCUGUUAUAGUACCUGUUAUAAUACCUGUUAUAGUACCUGUACCUGUUAUAGUACCUGUUAUAGUACCUGUUAUAGUACCUGUUGUAAUACCUGUUAUAGUACCUGUACCUGUUAUAGUACCUGUUAUAAUACCUGUUAUAGUACCUGUACCUGUUAUAAUACCUGUUAUAGUACCUGUUAUAGUACCUGUUAUAGUACCUGUUAUAGUACCUGCUAUAAUACCUGUUAUAAUACCUGUUAUAGUACCUGUUAUAAUACCUGUUAUAAUACCUGUUAUAGUACCUGUUAUAGUACCUGUUAUAAUACCUGUUAUAAUACCUGUUAUAGUACCUGUUAUAAUACCUGUUAUAGUACCUGUUAUAAUACCUGUUAUAGUACCUGUUAUAGUACCUGUUAUAGUACCUGUUAUAAUACCUGUUAUAAUACCUGUACCUGUUAUAGUACCUGUUAUAGUACCUGUUAUAGUACCUGUUAUAAUACCUGUUAUAGUACCUGUUAUAGUACCUGUUAUAGUACCUGUUAUAAUACCUGUUAUAAUACCUGUUAUAAUACCUGUUAUAAUACCUGUACCUGUUAUAGUACCUGUUAUAGUACCUGUUAUAAUACCUGUUAUAGUACCUGUUAUAAUACCUGUUAUAAUACCUGCUAUAAUACCUGUUAUAAUACCUGUUAUAAUACCUGUUAUAGUACCUGUUAUAGUACCUGUUAUAGUACCUGUUAUAAUACCUGUUAUAGUACCUGUUAUAGUACCUGUUAUAGUACCUGUUAUAAUACCUGUUAUAAUACCUGUUAUAGUACCUGUUAUAGUACCUGUUAUAAUACCUGUUAUGUACCUGUUAUAGUACCUGUUAUAAUACCUGGUAUAAUACCUGUUAUAGUACCUGUUAUAAUACCUGUUAUAGUACCUGUUAUAGUACCUGUUAUAAUACCUGUUAUAAUACCUGUUAUAAUACCUGUUAUAGUACCUGUACCUGUUAUAAUACCUGUUAUAGUACCUGUACCUGUUAUAGUACCUGUUAUAAUACCUGUUAUAGUACCUGUUAUAGUACCUGUUAUAAUACCUGUUAUAGUACCUGUUAUAAUACCUGUUAUAGUACCUGUUAUAGUACCUGUUAUAGUACCUGUUAUAAUACCUGUUAUAGUACCUGUUAUAGUACCUGUUAUAGUACCUGUUAUAAUACCUGCUAUAAUACCUGUUAUAAUACCUGUUAUAAUACCUGUUAUAGUACCUGUUAUAAUACCUGUUAUAGUACCUGUUAUAGUACCUGUUAUAGUACCUGUUAUAAUACCUGUUAUAAUACCUGUUAUAGUACCUGUACCUGUUAUAAUACCUGUUAUAGUACCUGUUAUAGUACCUGUUAUAAUACCUGUUAUAGUACCUGUACCUGUUAUAAUACCUGUUAUAGUACCUGUUAUAGUACCUGUUAUAAUACCUGUUAUAAUACCUGAUAUAAUACCUGUUAUAAUACCUGUUAUAAUACCUGUUAUAGUACCUGUUAUAGUACCUGGUAUAAUACCUGUUAUAGUACCUGUUAUAAUACCUGUUAUAGUACCUGGUAUAAUACCUGUUAUAGUACCUGUUAUAAUACCUGUUAUAGUACCUGUUAUAGUACCUGUUAUAGUACCUGUUAUAGUACCUGUUAUAAUACCUGUUAUAGUACCUGUUAUAAUACCUGUUAUAAUACCUGUUAUAGUACCUGUUAUAGUACCUGUUAUAAUACCUGGUAUAAUACCUGUUAUAGUACCUGUUAUAGUACCUGUUAUAAUACCUGUUAUAGUACCUGUUAUAAUACCUGUUAUAAUACCUGUUAUAAUACCUGUUAUAGUACCUGUUAUAGUACCUGUUAUAGUACCUGUUAUAAUACCUGUUAUAAUACCUGUUAUAGUACCUGUUAUAAUACCUGUUAUAGUACCUGUUAUAGUACCUGUUAUAAUACCUGUUAUAGUACCUGUUAUAAUACCUGUUAUAGUACCUGUUAUAAUACCUGUUAUAGUACCUGUUAUAGUACCUGUUAUAGUACCUGUUAUAAUACCUGUUAUAAUACCUGGUAUAAUACCUGUUAUAGUACCUGUUAUAAUACCUGUUAUAGUACCUGUUAUAAUACCUAAUUAUAUCUUUAAUAACCUGUUCUAUGUACCUGUAUAA